ACAAUCCUGAAGCUACUAUUUUGUAACUGCUAAGUGAUAAAAAAAAAUAAUUACAACUUUACUGGUUACCUGGACUGUCCUGUGUAUCACACUUACACAUUGCUCCUACAGACUGAUCUGUUGGUGUUCCAACUGCUGGCAAUUUCGCACAGCAGCAGACAGGUAUUUUCACAGCCAAGCUUCACAUGACAACGUGGUUUGGUUCUCAGGUCCUGAUCUUGUCCUUAGAAAAGAGGUACAUGCUGUCCCACUGGAAUUCUGCCCUACAAGCUGCAUGAACACAGAAGCAGGUAUCAACAAAUGAAGUAAACAAUCUGAACCUAAGCAAAUACCGCGAUAGGAGAUUUGUCUUUUAAUUAUAAGAGUAAGAAAUAUACCAGCCAUAAGUUUGGAAAGCUCCCUGGGUCAGUAGCUACUUUUAAAAGUGUGAAAUUUUGUCUAUGGCUGUUGCUAACUGAUAAAUUCAACUGUCUCCAUCCUAUGUUACUCCCAGCAGAAUCCAGAAUCCAGAGCAAGCAGAGAUGGGCUGUGCAAUCCAGGUUGUCCAUUAACUCAUAAAUAUGGAAAGAGUUUUAGGCCCAGAUACCUCCAACUCCUAAAUUGCACCUAGAAGAUCCAACUAUAUCCCCUGUGAAGUCUCUCAAACAAUGAAAUAAGGAAUCUGUGAUGCAACAUGACUUAUGGUAAAACUAAACUAGCAUAAUUCCUAUUGGAGUAUUUUAGCAUUUCUUUUCUCUGCCACCUGGGCUUUAAAAUAUUUUGCCAGUGCUCAGUAUGGAAUCUGUGCCUAAAAGGUUGUAAAUUUUUAGUUCUUUCCUACUUUAAUUUAUAUUAGUGACACAGAAACUUUCCUUCUUUUGGGAAAGCAUGGGCAAGGCCACCACUCAAUCAUAUGUUUUGAAAACUGGCUGAAAAACCACACUCAAUCAAUAAAGACCAAAGGCUGACAUGCAGCCAGUGAAGAACAGUACUCAACAUCUAGAUCAGGCCCUGAUGAUGACACAGAAUGCACUCUGCACAAAUUUGUGUACAGCAGACUAGGGAAUGGCUGACAUGAGGAUUGGUAGAGCUUAAUCCAAAGAGAUCCCAAUAAAUUUGAGAAUCAGGCAGAUACCUUGAAGAACUCAACAGAGCAGAAUAACCUCAGGAAUAAGGAUAGAUUGAGAGCUGACUGGAGAGCAAAGGACCACGGGACCAUGGUGGAUGUCAGGCUGGGUGUGAGCCCUUUUAAACCAACAGUGCAGGCUCUUUGCAAACAAUGCAAGCCAUCAAUAAACUGAACUCCAAUGAGAGAGGUGUGGCAGGGAAUUAUUGUGUGGUGUGGCAGGUAUUUUCCCACAGUCAUUAAAAAAGAUUAAUUGGGACCAACAUUUUUCAGAGCAGUUGCCAGAUACUACUUUAACUAAAUGCUGCCCGGGGAAGUGGUGGAGUUACUGUCCUUGGAGGUUUUCAAGAAAAGUGUACACGUGACACUUAGGGAUAUAAUUUAGUGAGCAAGGGGGUGAUGGGCUGACGGUUGGAAUAGAUGAUCUUAGGGUUUUUUUCCAACCUUAAUGAUUCUGUUAUUCUAGUAUGCAUAGAAAGAAAAAGAGCACCGUCUCAUAGAAAUGGAUGUAACCUAUCUGGGAAAUUAAAAAGUAGAAAUCCUUGUCCUCCUUGUCCCUGGAGGUAAUGAACAGAGAAAUAAUCUUCCUUGAAAGCUUGGUGACUUUCUUGUUAGAGGUCACAGUGUUGUCCCAGCAAGGGCUGAUGCUGCCUGUCUUUAAUAGCCCUCAUUUGGGAGCAUAGUUGAAUUCUGAAGGCUGGCUAGAAGCAUUACCACUUGUAACAAAACAAGAACAUUAUGUUUUACACAGCAUAUUCCAUGGCAUGUCAAGUAACAGAUGAUCCUGAAAGAUCCCCUUGAAUACCUUAUCUACCAAGCAAGGCCCUUCUACUGCUUUUUCAUAUCAUCACAAGCAGAGAGGUUUUGAGGCACCGUGCAUUGCACAAGUAAGAGGCUUUGAAAGAACGUGUUUAUUGCAUGCAGCACUUUGUGUUUUAGGUCCUAAUGGUUUUUAAAAACUCCUAAUGGUCUUUAAUUUUUCACAUUGUUAUGUCUAAUUUAUGCUUACUGUGAUUGCAUUCUUGUUUAUUAAAAAGUAACUGAGAG
ensembl:lncRNA